GGCGCUUUGGCGGAGUGGUUAACGGUAAGCCUCAACUAGCUUUAGAUAUUGGAACAUUUUCUAACACAACACAGCGAUAGCCUAGAAAGCUAUUUCCUUCGGGAGCGCAGGUUCGAGUCCUGCAGGCGUCG